rnacentral:lncRNA from 1 species
AUGCAGUCAUCAAUAUUCAUCAUUUAAUAACGUGUCAUUUGAAUAUUUAUUAUUUCCAAUAUAUGAUACUAACGUGAAUUAACGCUGUAGGUCUUCUUUACUCGUCUUUCUGAUUUGUAUAUAAAGAUGAACGAUAUGUUUUAUCUAUUUAGGUCAUUGAAGUUGACGUGUUAACUACUGUUGAUAAAUAUGCUUAAAACUGACAGUUUGUCUCCUCACUCACGCUAUCAAUAACCUGAAGCUGUAUGCACUUUUUCAUUUUAUCAUUUGUACUACAAACUUAUUUUACUUGUAAUAAUAAAGCGAUCACAAGAUGUUCGAAGAAAACUGUAUUGAAAUUAACCACCAGAUCAAACAUGAAUAAAUUUUUAAUUAUGUAAUAUAGAUUAAUUCCAAUGCUUUUAACCGUUGGUAAAAUCAUCAACAUAUUUCGAUAUAUUUUUAGUUCUUUAUAUUAAUAGCAAAUAGAUAUAAGUAAACUAAAAUUAUUUAAUGCGACUACGAUAUCGUAGACGAAUAACUACUUACUGCAUUUAUUAAUACAGUAAUUUUGAAUAAUGGUAGAGGGCACCACAGUUAUUGAUUUCAUAUUGAACUUUAUGAAUUUGGUUCCCAGUUGUAUUUAUAUUUGAUAUUUAAUAACUUCUCGAAUCGAACGAUUUAGUCAAUCAUAGCAGGCGCCGUCUGAUACAAAGUAGCAGGUACCGAGGUAGUGUAUAGGUACUCCAGUAGAAAUGCGAGAAGGGGCUCUAGAAUAUUGCUUUCGUUGGUAGUUUCCGACCUUUAGUGGUGUGAAUGUACACAUAAUCGAUAUUUUACAAAUUUACAAAUCGAUUAAUAAGAAUGUAUCAGAUUUCAGUAUGUCUAUAAAAUAUUCGUUUGGCUUUUAAUUAAUGUAGUACGUUGGAUUUUAUAUAAGAUCUUAAUGGAUUUUAACAAUUUAUCUACUGAUCAGAAAUCUAUACUAAUAUCUGAUGGAAGGAUAAUUAUAUUUCGAAUGUUGUGAAGAAAUGGGGGUUAUUUUUAUCUUACCGAACGUACCCAGUUCGCUGGUCGGAAAGAAUCAUAUGUUUCCCCUCUGUCUGCAAUGCACCCAAGUGAAGAAGGUGCGCGUAAAGGAUGCUGGGAACUGCAGCUGGUUUGAAAAAUACACCCGAAGUGCCUGCGUGUUAAGCAGUGGUACCGCCAUGUUGUACUCUGUUAAAGGCCAAGGCCAAUGUGCGAAGAUGUCAAAGAAUACAGCCAAUGGCCUUGUGUCAUGUUGUUGACCAGGCUUUAUGGGCAACUUUAUGUGAUGGGAGAGUGAAGAGACUAUCUGAUUACACCUCCGUGAAAACUAAUUCAAAGG